GACGAACCGUCCAAACGUUAUUCGGAAUUACUGGGCUUAAAGGGUGCGUAGGCGGCGCGGAAAGUUGGGUGCGAAAUCCCUCGGCUCAACCGAGGAAUUGCGCCCAAAACUACCGUGCUCGAGGGAGGCAGAGGUGAGCGGAACUGAUGGUGGAGCGGUGAAAUGCGUUGAUAUCAUCAGGAACACCGGUGGCGAAAGCGGCUCACUGGGUCUUUUCUGACGCUGAGGCACGAAAGCUAGGGGAGCGAACGGG
rnacentral:rRNA from 1 species